UACGUAGGGGGCAAGCGUUGUCCGGAUUUAUUGGGCGUAAAGAGCUCGUAGGUGGUUCGGUAAGUCGGAUGUGAAAUCUCCAGGCUCAACCUGGAGGGGUCAUUCGAUACUGCCGUGACUAGAGUUCGGUAGGGGAGUGUGGAAUUCCUGGUGGAGCGGUGAAAUGCGCAGAGUAUCAGGAGGAACACCCGUAGCGAAGGGCGGCACUCUGGGCCGAUACUGACACUGAGGAGCGAAAGCGUGGGGAGCGAACAGG
rnacentral:rRNA from 1 species